UACAGAGGUCUCGAGCGUUAGGCGGAAUUACUGGGCGUAAAGGGCGCGUAGGCGGCCUUCUAAGUCGAACGUGAAAUCCCCGGGCUCAACCCGGGAACUGCGUCCGAUACUGGAAGGCUUGAAUCCGGGAGAGGGAUGCGGAAUUCCAGGUGUAGCGGUGAAAUGCGUAGAUAUCUGGAGGAACACCGGUGGCGAAGGCGGCAUCCUGGACCGGCAUUGACGCUGAGGCGCGAAAGCCAGGGGAGCAAACGGG
rnacentral:rRNA from 1 species